AUCUAGGCUCUUGCAUCGAUGAAGAACGUAGCGAAAUGCGAUACUUGGUGUGAAUUGCAGAAUCCCGUGAACCAUCGAGUCUUUGAACGCAAGUUGCGCCCGAUGCCAUUAGGUUGAGGGCACGUCUGCCUGGGUGUCACAUAUCGAAGCCUCCAGCCAAUUUC
rnacentral:rRNA from 1 species